GUUGGCAUUCAGUUGGAUGACUUAGGUACCUUCCAGGAAAGUCUGAAACAGUAGUCACAGAACAUGACGUGGAAUGAAUUCAGAAAUUGAACAUGAUUGUCAGCACAUGAAAGGUGCCUCAGGGAGAGUGCAGUGACUGACAAGUGGUGACUGUGAGAUGCACAGGGAACAGAUGGAGCAGCUGGUGCGGUGCAUGAAAGGUCAAGUGCUGGGACUGAAGGUGUCCUGUUGCAGACAGGCCAGUGUCUCAGUGUGACCAUGAGAUUCAGCAGUCAGCCUUGCCCAGGUGUCCUCUCCAGUCUCCAGUGGACCUGGAAGUUGGAGGCAGAAGUGGGGGUGCCAGGAUCCACAUGUGUUACUGUGUGGUCCUGAGUGGAUUUGCCAUAACAAGUACAUUACUUAUGUCUGGUUUAUCAUACGAUGCUGGUCUUUAUAACUAAUCAUUAACCUUCUACACUAUUUUCCAUAAGCUUUACCCAUGGAUGAAAGAUUUUUUAACUUUUCCUCACAUGAUAGAUCUAGACUUUGAAAUAUUGAACUAAGGGGAAAAAACCUGGAAAGUAUGUUGAGAAGUACGCACAAUUGCUGCCCUGCCUAACUCUUCAGGUGACAAGUAGCUUUCUAAAGCUUGGAACUGUCAAAGGACUUCUGAGUAUGCUUCCAGCCACAAGUCAGUGCUGACAUCUUAACCAGUGUGUGGAGGAGGAGAGCAUUGGUUUCCACACUGAGGCAGCUCUGUGGUGGUUGUUCCUCUCAGGUACCCUCUACUGGUAAACUUGAACUAUACUGACAGACCAUAGCACAGCUAUGUCCCCAUUGUGCUGGAGUUUGUAUGAAUAGUUAGGAUGUUAAUACUACAUUUUUUUGCCUUCUUUCUCAUAGCUAAUGUCUAUGGAACUAGCUGUAUUACUUGUUUUUUGUUUUGUUUUUUAUUGUUAUAGCUCUGUUAAAUGGCCCCCCAAAUUUCCAGAUAGUAUCCCUAACUGCAACAGAAGAAUUUUAUGGAUCCUUAACUCACAAUAAGUUUGACUUUCAACAAUUUGUUCAGUGUGAAUAUUUUUAUGUCUUUUUCAUGCUUCCACUUACUUGAAACUCAGUUUAUUCUUAAAAACUGUCUAGUAGAACCAGCUUAUUAAGUGUUACUUUGGUAUGCAGUGAAAUGGUCAAUUAAGCAAUAUUGAAGAAAGAUACUUUGACUGUUUUGAAAUUUAUUAUGAAUCAUAAAACAAAAAUCAUUUCAUAGUAUUUCAGAGAUAAAGUCUCAACUGUUCUUAGUCCAGUAUGUCAGUAGAAUUUAUAGUGCAAAUA
rnacentral:lncRNA from 1 species